GAGAGGUGGCCGAGCGGUUUAAGGCGCUUGUCUGGAAAGCAGGCUAUCUGAGGAAGAUGCAUGGGUUCGAAUCCCAUCCUCUCC
rnacentral:tRNA from 1 species